AGCAAAAGCAAAGCCCCUCUCACACCAGCUUGAGAGGUAUGAAUAUGAAAAUUCACAACUCCCUGAAGCCUUUCCAGAGCUACCAAGAAUGUCACUUCAUUCACUUCAAGGCUGAGGAGGAAGAGAGAUGGAGGAGGACCCGGGCACACAAGCUACAAUGAAAGUCGAUUAGCAGGUUUCAGCUGAAGACAUAUCUAAAAUGCUCUGAAAUGGUUCAGCACAAGUCUUUCUGGUCUCUUCUCAAAAGCAGGAAAUGACAUUUGGCAUAUCUCUGUUCUGUCCUGGAAUGCCCAUCACCAGAUUUUUGUGUAGCCCAGAAUGAUCCCCUUUAGUGGAAGAAGAAGAAAGAAGAGGAGAAGAAAGAGGGGAGGAAGAAAUAUCCUUAUCAUUAAAGCCUAAUCAGCUUGUUUUUCUGUAACAUCUUACUGUCACUGAAGAGCAAAUCGUAGUAUCUAUCACUCCCUGUGAGAUUCCCGUUACUUAGACUUCUGUGGAAGUUUCGGUUUGAUCUCUCCUGGUGUAACAACUGGCAUUAAUCCAUAUUGCUAUAAUGAAACACUCCAAGGAGCAAAUACAGGGGACCUGGUCUUUGAAGCUGUGUUAUAUGGUAAGUAACUUUCUAGUAAAUCAUAAUAUUACAGUAGAAGAGCUUUGAGGGAAGACAAGCCUUGAGUUUCAUGACUAUGUAUAAUUCAAAACCAGAAAAUCAAAAGACUCAGACAUGACAUUCUUCUGGAUAGACAGAAGAGCUUCGCUGUCUAAUGGAUCCCAUGCUACAACUUGAAGAAGAAAAAAAAAAAAAAAAAGAUUUUCUCAAAGAUCUUUAAAGAAUAGAUUUGUGAUC